GCUCAAACAAGGACUUUCAUAAAGUGUGAAGUAUAGUUUCUGAUAUGGCGAUAUUUAAACAUUGUUUUAUUAUCACUAUCAUUCUCAUGGCAACCACAAUUAAUAUGUCGAGAUUUCCAAUGACGCAAGUUAUAGCUGCACAGAAUAUCGAUCAUGAUUUCUCAGGAUUCAAGAGGAGAAUACUCCCACAACUUGCAACUUGUUUUAGAAGUUGUACUUCCAAUGAUGAUUGCAGUGACUGCUGGGUUUGUUGUACUUGUGGUAUGCAUUAUGGACCCAGUCAAAAUACGUGCGUAGUUGGAACAUAAAAAUGUUAAUAUCAUUGUGUCGCAACAAACUCCUUUACAAAUUCCUAUUACGCAUAAGUAUUCCCUGUAAUUUCAGUGUUUCUGUUGUAUUGUCCAGUUCUCUUUUCUUUCGUAUUUAUAUGAAUAAUGAAGAAACUCAUGUCAAUGGAUUUCUAUUCAGAAAAUAAAAAUUGAUUUCAUUCCAAA